UGCCAGCMGCCGCGGUAAUACGUAGGUCCCGAGCGGUUGUCCGGAUUUAUUGGGCYKUAAAGCGAGCGCAGGCGGUUAGAUAAGUCUGAAGUUAAAGGCUGUGGCUUAACCAUAGUACGCUUUGGAAACUGUUUAACUUGAGUGCAAGAGGGGAGAGUGGAAUUCCAUGUGUAGCGGUGAAAUGCGUAGAUAUAUGGAGGAACACCCGGUGGCGAAAGCGGCUCUCUGGCUUGUAACWGACGCUGAGGCUCRAAAGCGUGGGGAGCAAACAGGAUUAGAUACCCUGGUAGUCCAAG
rnacentral:rRNA from 1 species